UCCUCUAUAGCUAAGUGGUGAAGGCGUCGACCUUAUGCGGUUAAUCCAACAAUAUGUCUUGUCGAAGAGCAGCGGUUCGAACCCGCUUAGAGGAA